rnacentral:misc_RNA from 1 species
GAUGAAGAACGUAGCGAAAUGCGAUAAGUAAUGUGAAUUGCAGAAUUCAGUGAAUCAUCGAAUCUUUGAACGCACAUUGCGCCCCUUGGUAUUCCGAGGGGCAUGCCUGUUCGAGCGUCAUUAUAACCCCUCAAGCUCAGCUUGGUGUUGGGGCCUGCUGCACUGGCAGCCCUUAAAAUCAGUGGCGGCGCCAUCUGGCUCUAAGCGUAGUAAUUCUUCUCGCUAUGGAGUCCUGGUGGAUGCUUGCCAUCAACCCCAAUUUUUCUAUGGUUGACCUCGGAUCAGGUAGGGAUACCCGCUGAACUUAAGCAUAUCAAUAAGCGGAGGA